GAUCAGCUCAGGAUGAACGCUAGCGGCAGGCUUAACACAUGCAAGUCGAGGGACAGCGGGGUGUAGCAAUACACUGCCGGCGACCGGCGCACGGGUGCGUAACGCGUAUGCAACCUACCCAUAACAGGGGCAUAACACUGAGAAAUUGGUACUAAUUCCCCAUAACAUUCGAAGAGGCAUCUCUUUGGGUUGAAAACUCCGGUGGUUAUGGAUGGGCAUGCGUUGUAUUAGCUAGUUGG
rnacentral:rRNA from 1 species